rnacentral:rRNA from 1 species
UCUAGCUCUAGGUCGGGGACAACCACUGGAAACGGUGGCUAAUACCGGAUGUGCCGAAAGGUGAAAGAUUUAUUGCCUAGAGAUGAGCUCGCGUCUGAUUAGCUAGUUGGUGUGGUAAGAGCGCACCAAGGCGACGAUCAGUAGCUGGUCUGAGAGGAUGAUCAGCCACACUGGGACUGAGACACGGCCCAGACUCCUACGGGAGGCAGCAGUGGGGAAUUUUCCGCAAUGGGCGAAAGCCUGACGGAGCAAUACCGCGUGAGGGAGGAAGGCUCUUGGGUUGUAAACCUCUUUUCUCAGGGAAUAAGAAAGUGAAGGUACCUGAGGAAUAAGCAUCGGCUAACUCCGUGCCAGCAGCCGCGGUAAUACGGAGGAUGCAAGCGUUAUCCGGAAUGAUUGGGCGUAAAGCGUCCGCAGGUGGCACUGUAAGUCUGCUGUUAAAGAGCAAGGCUCAACCUUGUAAAGGCAGUGGAAACUACAGAGCUAGAGUACGUUCGGGGCAGAGGGAAUUCCUGGUGUAGCGGUGAAAUGCGUAGAGAUCAGGAAGAACACCGGUGGCGAAAGCGCUCUGCUAGGCCGUAACUGACACUGAGGGACG